AUGCACCAUUGGAUGAGCCUGCACUUGAUUAGUUUGUUGGUGGGGUAAUGGCCUACCAAGACUUUGAUCAAUAGCUGAUUUGAGAGGAUGAUCAGCCACAUUGGGACUGAGACACGGCCCAAACUCCUACGGGAGGCAGCAGUGGGGAAUCUUGCACAAUGGAGGAAACUCUGAUGCAGCGAUGCCGCGUGAGUGAAGAAGGCC
rnacentral:rRNA from 1 species